AAUCAGCUGCUUUGGAGCUUGUCUUUCUCCAAUCUAUCAUCUGAAAACCGAAGAGUAGUUGAGAAGAACGCGAGAACUUCAUCCACGUCUGCCUACUUCCUCCUUCAUGCCUGAAUGCCGAGAUGGCCUCAAAAUACCUGACUGCUCAUCGUCGGUUUUGGUGAUUUGAAGUUGAAAUUGAGGAAACAUCGAGUGCUUCGUUUUGAGGUAAAUCACCGCCAUUUAGUGUCAAUGUGGUGGCGUUUAAGGGAAUCGGGAUUCAACUCUCUCUCUGUUUUUCCCCCCUUCUUUUGGGCUGUUGAUUGCAACAGAUUUGAGCUCUGUAUGAUUGGGAAAAUGAAGUGAAAAGGUGCUGAAAUUCUGAUUUUGGUUGCGUGCACAAGGGUGUGGCUCUUUCAUCACACUUUCGAUUUCGGAAUUGUUGGGGCUGAUAUAGGCAUUGUAUUUGCACGACUGUCAUUAAUUCCGGAAGAAUCUCAAUGAACUUGGAAGCUUAAUUGAAGGGAAGAGGAAGUGUCUAUCUGAAUCAUUGGAGGUAAUUCCUCACCAUCUUGGCAUCAAAUUCUGAUUGUGCUUUGAGCAUUUGGAAUUUUCUUCGAAUCUGUUCUGUAUGGAUGUACUCCUGCAGCAAAUUGAAGCGUAAAAUCAAUGAUGAACUGGGAGGAAAUGGGAGUAUUGAAGUGCUUUAACUGCGGCAAUCAUAUUAGUUUUUGAAA